CAGCGAAAAGACCUCAGAGGAUCCGGGAGUUGGCGGCAGUGACCCGGCCGAGCGGAUAAGUUCAGGUAAAACAUUUGAUCUAUGGGCAUGUUAUUCGGGGCUUGGAGGCUACGGGGUUAUAUUUAACCAAUUCCGGGGCUAUUUUAAGUAGCAAAAAUAACCACAUCCUUCCCUUUUUUCAGGAAAAGAGUCUUCAUCUGAAGCGAUUGAAACAUAAUCACAGAGGCUGGACGACGUGGAAAAACCAAGAAGAAGCUACACGAACACCGGAUACGACCCCCCCCCUCGAAGUUUCCAUUCUUGUCCAUCACAAACACAAGAACCUCGGAGAGCAGCUCCAGUGGAAGGUCCGGGCAGAUGAUAACUUCAGAACACCACAAUGAGGAGAUGACGGCAGCAGUGAAAGAUGUGGAACCAAAUUGGAGUUUCCACCAAGUUAGAAGAGCUUGCAAUCGAGCUAUUGACAGUCUCAAGUGCAAAGAGAGAGAAUGGAGAUAGAAGCAAGGAGGACCAGUCAGCAUGAUCAGCUCUUCAAAAAGAGGGUCAAAAUUGCUGAGAAGAUUCUCAAUCAAGAGGAUCUGUCAUAAAUAAAAAGAGCCAAUGCAAACUAUGUCAGCGACGAGGAAAGUGACGAGGACAAACCAUCUUAUUAUCAAGCCUCGCCAAAGUGGCGCUCCACUAGGCUAACCAUGGUGAUGCUGAAAUGCCAUAAAGCCUGGGAUGAAAACUGGAGGAGUGGAAUUGAGCCAAAAUUACGCACGAGACACUCAGCUGACUUUACUGAAGGAAACCCACCACCAGUCAAGAGCUGCUAUCUGGCAGAAGAGAAAAAAAGGAUGCAUGUUUGUUUGUGGUUUUUGACUUAUUUAUUUUGUAAUAAAAUAUUUUUGAGUAAUA